GAUGAACGCUGGCGGCGUGCCUAAUACAUGCAAGUCGAGCGAAUGGAUUAAGAGCUUGCUCUUAUGAAGUUAGCGGCGGACGGGUGAGUAACACGUGGGUAACCUGCCCAUAAGACUGGGAUAACUCCGGGAAACCGGGGCUAAUACCGGAUAACAUUUUGAACCGCAUGGUUCGAAAUUGAAAGGCGGCUUCGGCUGUCACUUAUGGAUGGACCCGCGUUGCAUUAGCUAGUUGGUGAGGUAACGGCUCACCAAGGCACAGAUGCGUAGCCGACCUGAGAGGGUGAUCGGCCACACUGGGACUGAGACACGGCCCAGACUCCUACGGGAGGCAGCAGUAGGGAAUCUUCCGCAAUGGACGAAAGUCUGACGGAGCAACGCCGCGUGAGUGAUGAAGGCUUUCGGGUCGUAAAACUCUGUUGUUAGGGAAGAACAAGUGCUAGUUGAAUAAGCUGGCACCUUGACGGUACCUAACCAGAAAGCCACGGCUAACUACGUGCCAGCCGCCGCAGUAA
rnacentral:rRNA from 1 species